UCCGCUUUGUGUGCGGCAGUCUCUCUAGAUAUUCAACUAGAAACAAGGGUUGCGCUCGUUGCGGGACUUAACCCAACAUCUCACGACACGAGCUGACGACAGCCAUGCAACAUCUGUGUAUCCGUCCCGAAGGAGGCCCUGCUUUCACAGGGUUGCGAAUACAUGUCAAGCCCAGGUAAGGUUCUUCGCGUCGCAUCGAAUUAAACCACACGCUCCGCUGCUUGUGCGGGUCCCCGUCAAUUCCUUUGAGUUUUAGUCUUGCGACCGUACUCCCCAGGCGGGCCACUUAAUGCGUUAGCUUCGGCACAAGGGGGGUCAACACCCCUCACACCUAGUGGCCAUCGUUUACUGCUAGGACUAC
rnacentral:misc_RNA from 1 species